GUACUUGCUUUGGCAGCACAUAUACUAAAACUGGAAUGAUACAGAGAAGGUUAGCAUGGUCCCUGUGCAAGGAUGACCCGCAUCUGCAGUGAUUAUUUGU
rnacentral:snRNA from 1 species